rnacentral:rRNA from 1 species
UGCCAGCAGCCGCGGUAAUACGUAGGCAGCAAGCGUUGUUCGGAAUUACUGGGCGUAAAGAGUGUGUAGGCGGUUUUCUAAGUUUGGUGUGAAAUCUCCCGGCUUAACUGGGAGGGUGCGCCGAAAACUGGAAGGCUUGAGUGCCGGAGAGGAUAGCGGAAUUCCUGGUGUAGCGGUGAAAUGCGUAGAUAUCAGGAGGAACACCUGUGGUGUAGACGGCUAUCUGGACGGCCACUGACGCUGAGACGCGAAAGCGUGGGUAGCAAACAGGAUUAGAUACCCUGGUAGUCCACGCCCUAAACGAUGCAUACUUGGUGUGAGCCAUUCAUUUGGUUCGUGCCGGAGCUAACGCGUUAAGUAUGCCGCCUGGGGAGUACGGUCGCAAGGCUGAAACUCAAAGGAAUUGAUCGGGGGCCCGCACAAGA